rnacentral:lncRNA from 1 species
CUUAUCAAUGCACUUAUUCAAGAUCCUGCAAAGGAAUUAGAAGACUUGAUUCCUAAAAACCAUAUCAGGACACCUGCCAGUACCAAGUCCAUUCAUACAAACUUCUCAUCUGGAGUAGGCACCACAGCAACUUCCAGCAAGAACACAUUUCCCCUGGGUGCUCCAGCUCUUGUAACAUCACAGGCAACAACAUUAUCUACGUUCCAGCCCACUAACAAACUUAGUAAGAGUGUGCCAACAAAUGUGCGGUCUCCUUUCCCAGUGUCGCUUCCCUUAGCUUAUCCUCAUCCUCAUUUUGCUCUUCUGGCUGCUCAAACUAUGCAACAAAUUCGGCAUCCUCGCUUACCCAUGGCACAGUUUGGAGGAACCUUCUCACCUUCACCUAACACCUGGGGACCAUUCCCAGUGAGACCUGUGAAUCCUGGCAAUACAAGUAGUUCUCCAAAGCAUAAUAAUACAGCCCGACUACCUAAUCAGAAUGGACCUGUUUUACCAUCAGAAUCGCCAGGACUGGCUACUGCUGGUUGUCCUAUCACGGUCUCUUCUGUAGUUGCUGCCAGUCAGCAACUGUGUAUGACUAAUUCCAGGACUCCCUCAUCAGUCAGAAAGCAGUUGUUUGGUUGUGUGCCCAAGACCAGUCCUCCAGCAGCAGUGAUUUCCUCUGUGACAAGCACUAGUAGUUCCUUGCCGUCUGUGUCUUCCACAUCUAUCACUAGUGGACAAGUUACCACCACAUUUAUGCCUGCAACUACUCCUCAAGUACAACUUUCUUCACAAAAGGUGGAGUCUUUCUCUGUCAUACCGCCUCCCAAAGAGAAAGCGUCCACACAGGACCAGCCCUUGACAAACCUAUGUACACCAUCUCCAACUGCUAACAGUUGUAAUAGCUCUGCCAGCAACACCUCAGGAGCGCCAGAAACUCAUCCAUCCAGCAGCCCUACUCCUCCUUCCAGUACUACACAAGAGGAGGGACAGCCAUCCAAGGUGUCUGAUUUAAAUCCCGUGUCAAUGCCUUUUGCCUCUAACUCAGAAUCUGCUCCAUUGACUUUGGCAUCACCAAGAUUGGUUGCUGCUGAUAAUCAGGACACUGGUAGUUUACCUCAGUUAGCUGUACCAGCACCUCGAGUUUCUCAUCGAAUGCAGCCCAGAGGUUCUUUUUACUCAGUAGUACCAAAUGCAACUCUACACCAGGAUCCCCAGUCAAUUUUUGUUACCAAUCCAGUUCCUUUAACACCGCCACAAGGCCCGCCAACUGCAGUGCAGCUUUCAUCGGCUGUGAACAUUAUGAACGGCUCUCAGGUGCACAUAAACCCAGCAAAUAAGUCCUUGCAACCUACAUUUGGCCCAGCCACGCUUUUUAAUCACUUCAGUAGUCUUUUUGAUAGUGGUCAGGUGCCAGCUAACCAAGGGUGGGGAGAUGGACCUCUGCCCUCAAGAGUUGCUGCAGAUGCCUCUUUCACUGUUCAGUCAGCUUUCCUGAGUAACUCUGUACUUGGACACUUGGAAAAUGUGCAUCCUGACAACUCCAAGGCACCUGGCUUCAGACCACCAUCACAGAGAGUUUCUACUAGUCCAGUUGGAUUGCCAUCCAUUGACCCUUCAGGCAACUCCCCAUCUGCUGCUUCUCCUCUGACAAGUUUCUCUGGCAUACCAGGGACAAGGGUUUUCCUACAAGGGCCAGCACCUGUCGGCACUCCUAGUUUUAACAGACAACAUUUUUCUCCCCACCCUUGGACAAGUGCCUCAAACACAUGUGACUCUCCUAUUCCAUCUGUUUCUUCGGGAUCAUCUUCACCUCUUUCAGCCACUUCUGCACCUCCAACAUUGGGCCAACAACCAAAAGGAAACAGUGCCAGUCAGGAUCGAAAGAUACCUCCUCCUAUUGGAACAGAGAGGUUGGCCAGGAUUCGGCAAGGAGGAUCUGUUGCACAAGCCCCUGUAGGGACCAGUUUUGUUGCUCCUGUUGGACACAGUGGGAUCUGGUCAUUUGGUGUCAAUGCUGUGUCAGAGGGCUUAUCAGGUUGGUCACAAUCUGUUAUAGGAAACCAUCCAAUGCAUCAACAGUUAUCAGACCCAAACACAUUUUCCCAGCAUCAACCAAUGGAGAGAGAUGAUUCUGGAAUGGUAGCUCCCACUAAUAUUUUUCACCAGCCAAUGGGUCUGCCAAUUUCCAUGUAUGGAGGCACCAUUAUACCCUCUCACCCUCAGCUUGCUGAUGUCCCGGGGGGCCCACUGUUCAAUGGACUUCACAACCCAGAUCCUGCUUGGAACCCCAUGAUAAAAGUUAUCCAGAACUCAACUGAAUGCACUGAUGCCCAGCAGGCCAGUGUGCUUUCUUCAGUCCCUGCUCUCAAGGGAGAAAUUCCAUCACCUCAGCUAACCAGACCAAAGAAAAGAGUUGGACAGCCAAUUGUGGCCUCUUCUAACCAGAGGCACCAGGAUCAUCUACGACAGAAAGUUCCUGCUGGAGUGCAAAAACUCACCCAUUGCCCGGACACCUCCCUGCUGCCUCCCUCAGAUCCCCGGGGUCACAAUUCCCCCAACAGUACCACCCUUCAAGCUGGAGUUGCUGAAGGAACAGAAGCAGACAGAGGAAGAGAUAACCGAUGACGAACAAUUUGAAAUGGACAUGUAAUCUAGUGCAAAGUGACCUGUGUGGAAUUAUGGAAGGAGCUCUCAUGCCACUAUUGUCAUCACCCCUUCUAGGGUAUCCAGGGCCAGCUGGCCUCAUCUAAUCUGGAAGUGAAUUGUUGGUUCUGAGCUUCCUUUAGUUCUGAGGCAGCUAGACCAGGGAUAGCAGUGGGCAACCUGCCAAGCCUUUAGCUUUCUCUGGUCUAUACAUAUUCCUCCCAAACUCUGCUCUUCCCCUCAGGGCUGGCACUGGGGAACAGAGUAUGUCACCUUCUGGCUGCUUAGUAAACUUUCAAAAAACUG